GAAAGAAAGGAGGGCCAGGAUUGUGAGAAAUGGUCAUUUAGGACUUGAGAAAUGUAUACACCCGGAAGAAUGAUCAGAGCAUUUAGAUGGAGCUCCUCUAUCUGGAAUGGUUUGUGUAUCAUCCUACCCAAAAUAUCAGGUGAAUGUCUUAAUUUUUCAGUGCCUCCUCCGCUGAAAAUCCACAGCCAGGCAUGGACCCCUCCCACCACCUCCUACUAUGGUACUUAAAGACCUCACCAUGAAAAACUGGAUUGCAUAAAGGACUGCUCCUGGACAGAGACCCCUGGCUUGUUAUAUUUGCACAACUGGACAGUUUUCAUGGCAUAGAUUGGAUGGACUCUGUCAGUGACAGGAGGCAAUGUCCCUCCUGAAGGAGGGAAGGGAGUCUCUUCACUAGCAAAUACUCCAGGUGAGCAAAGUGAGGGUUGGGUGGAUAAUGGGAAGGCAACACUAUGCUCCUGGCUUUAAGAUUUAUGGAUGGGCCCUGAAAGAAGUGUUUUAGCCUUUCUGUCCCUAAGAGCACAGAACAUCUAGUUUAGAUUUCUCCAAAGAGAAGGCAGAUCUCUCACAAGUUUACAUGGAGGCAGGGAUGAGAUAAAAGGGUGACAAUGAGGUGAAAAAGAGUGGAAAAACAAACAAACUGAAAAAGGUGCUGCCCGGCUCUACAUUGAAAGACCCUAAGAGUGUCCAGGCCUAAUAGCAUAUCUCUAAGGUAAAGUCUCUGGGAUCCCAGCAGACUGACACUGUGAUAAAACUCUGUCACAGUUUCUCAGCCAUUGGGGAAAAAAAAAAGAUCCUGUGAUUCCAACCAUGGAACUGCUACUCAAAACAACUGCAAGAAAGAGGAAGUAGAGACCACGCGAGGUAUUUCCGUGUAAGACUGUUCCACCUUGAGAAAAGAAGCAAAAUGUGGAAAUGGGUCCUUGGCUGGAGAAUGGAUUAAAGAGUCUUUGGUCUCUUUCUGAAUUGUGCUACUUAAUUUAUCAUCACCACCAUCAUCAUCAUCUUUGUUGUCAUCAUCUCCAUCACCGUGCUUCCUACAUGCCAGAAGUGUUGUGUUCCCUGGUUGAUCUCAUUUAAUUCUUCUGACAGCAAUAUGAGGUAAGCACUCUUAUUAUGCCGUCUUUAUGAAUGAGGAAACCGAAGCUUAGGAACAUUAAGUGAGUUGCUCAAGGUUCAACACACCCCUGUUGCAGACUGGCUGGAACUUCCAUACUUAAUACACAGA
rnacentral:lncRNA from 1 species